AUUGAACGCUGGCGGAAUGCUUUACACAUGCAAGUCGAACGGCAGCACGGACUUCGGUCUGGUGGCGAGUGGCGAACGGGUGAGUAAUGUAUCGGAACGUGCCCAGUCGUGGGGGAUAACGUAGUGAAAAUUACGCUAAUACCGCAUACGAUCUAUGGAUGAAAGCGGGGGAUCGCAAGACCUCGCGCGAUUGGAGCGGCCGAUAUCAGAUUAGGUAGUUGGUGGGGUAAAGGCCCACCAAGCCAACGAUCUGCAGCUGGUCUGAGAGGACGACCAGCCACACUGGAACUGAGACACGGUCCAGACUCCUACGGGAGGCAGCAGUGGGGAAUUUUGGACAAUGGGCGAAAGCCUGAUCCAGCCAUUCCGCGUGCAGGAUGAAGGCCCUCGGGUUGUAACUGCUUUUGUACAGAACGAAAAGGUUUCUACUAAUACUAGGAGCUCAUGACGGUACUGUAAGAAUAAGCACCGGCUAACUACGUGCCAGCAGCCGCAGUAA
rnacentral:rRNA from 1 species